AGAUGCAAAAGCGCUUGUCCUGCAGUGACGGAGCUUAGCGACUAAAGAUCUCCAAAGGGAACAAUGUCAGAGCUACUUGUUCUUGACACAAGACACGGAGGAAGCAGUUGUGUUUGCUUAACUGGAGGCCUGUCACCCGCUGCUUGGCUAACUGCAGUGUACGGAUAUGUGGGAAAGAUUCAGACCCAAUGAAAAGAGAAAGGCAAACGUGAGUCUGCCUACACACCACCAAAGAGUUCACAGGUUCUGACCCGAGGAGACACCGGUUGCAGGAUAUGCUUGAAGCUAUGGCACAUGCUACCACGUGCCACCGAAGAGAGGAUGAGCAGAGGGCCCUGCAGCACCACUGCAAAUGUGCAAUGCCUCUGGGUUUCAUGGUUUUUGUUUGUUUUGUUUUUCGUUUUUAAAGAAUUUAUAAGAAUUUUUGCAUUUCACUUUGU
ensembl:antisense 2810442N19Rik RIKEN cDNA 2810442N19 gene